rnacentral:rRNA from 1 species
UCGGAAUUAGAUGAGCCCACGUAAGAUUAGCUAGUUGGUGAGGUAAUGGCUCACCAAGGCGACGAUCUUUAGCUGGUCUGAGAGGAUGAUCAGCCACACUGGGACUGAGACACGGCCCAG